rnacentral:rRNA from 1 species
UACUAGAGUAGCACUCGCAUAUCAAUAAGCGGAGGAAAAGAAACUAACAAGGAUUCCCCUAGUAACGGCGAGUGAAGCGGGAAGAGCUCAAAUUUGAAAUCUUAAAGGGUUUCCCUUUACGAAUUGUAGUUUAAAGAAGUGUUUUCUGUUGAGGUUUUGGUAAAAGUUCUUUGGAAUAGGACAUCAUAGAGGGUGAGAAUCCCGUAUUUGACCUUUACUUUCAACUUUGUGAUACACUUUCAAAGAGUCGGAUUGUUUGGGAAUGCAGUCCAAAAUGGGUGGUAAAUUUCAUCUAAAGCUAAAUAUUGGCGAGAGACCGAUAGCGAACAAGUACCGUGAGGGAAAGAUGAAAAGAACUUUGAAAAGAGAGUUAAACAGUACGUGAAAUUGUCAAAAGGGAAGCGUUUGACACCAGUGUUGUUUUUCUGAAAAUCAAUUAAAGAACUGUUUAUGCUAAGCUGUUUAGACUUUAUCAGCUAACUGUUUAGUUUUGAGCUUUUCUUUAAUGCACUUUUCAGUUAACAAGUCAACAUCAAUUUCUUUUGCUGUAAAAAAGCUUGAGGAAGGUGGCUUGAGAUUCGUCUUAAGUGUUUAUAGCCUCUUGCCUAUGCAGUCGGAGAGAUUGAGGUCUGCAGCGUAGAUCCUUCGGGGCUAAAUGCAUUUGUGCUAAGUUAUAGCAUUUUAUAGACAACUUGUUGACUAUGAUUUGUCUUGUAGCUUACUCGCUUAUGUUAUUUUACCUACGCUUAGGAUGUUGAAGACUCUACAGAGAUA